GGAGUUCCACUCUUACAAUACCCACUGAGAUCCACGAUGGCUAACCACAAUGAAAACAACACCAUUAACACUCCCAAUGACCUAAACUCCGUCCAGGAGGGGCAGCAGUUCUCUUUCUCCAGUCCUACAACUCCAAACAACCAACCACCCAUUCCCUUCAACCCCUCGCCAAACCCGGCAGGAAACAUGUCUGGAGCUGUCUUAUCCAACCAGGACCUCCAAACCAUGGCCCUCCAGUUACAAAACACCGCCCAC
rnacentral:lncRNA from 1 species